rnacentral:rRNA from 1 species
GAUGAACGCUAGCGGGAGGCCUAACACAUGCAAGCCGAGCGGUAUGGGUAGCUUGCUACCCAGAGAGCGGCGUACGGGUGCGUAACACGUGUGCAACCUGCCCCUAUCCGGGGGAUAGCCCUCCGAAAGGAGGAUUAAUACCCCAUAAUAUAUCUGGUGGCAUCACUAGAUAUUGAAAACCCCGGUGGAUAGGGAUGGGCACGCGCAAGAUUAGAUAGUUGGCGGGGUAACGGCCCACCAAGUCGAUGAUCUUUAGGGGUCCUGAGAGGGAGAUCCCCCACACUGGUACUGAGACACGGACCAGACUCCUACGGGAGGCAGCAGUGAGGAAGAUUGGACAAUGGGUGGAAGCCUGAUCCAGCCAUCCCGCGUGAGGGACGACGGCCCUAUGGGUGGUAAACCUCUUUUGUACGGGGACAAACCUAUCUACGUGUAGAUAGCUGAAGGUACCGUACGAAUAAGCACCGGCUAACUCCGUG